AUAAUAAAUUUAUUAAUCAAUUAUCUGUCUUACCAGCAAGUACUCGCAUCGUUAAUUCAUACCAAAAAAAAACUAAAAUGGCCAAUUUUACUUUAUUGUUAUCAAUUAUUUUAUUUAUUGGCUUCUAUACUAGUGUAGUUGAAGCAUGUCCCGGAAAGUGGUGUCAUCCUUGGAAAGGCUAUGGCUGCUGUGACAGUUACGUUUGUAGUUCAUAUUUUUUUCAAGGCAAUUGCCGAACCGGCUUGGAAGAUCUCAUAGAUAAAAUUGGUUAAAAUCAAUCAAAUAAUGUUUGGAAAAUUCGAAAGUGCAAACCUUCAACGCUCAAGUUUUAUAUUGAAUAAUCAGUGUACUAUUAUUAAUUGUCAAACUAUGUAUCCCUUCCCUGAUUGAGAAAGAUGAUUCUAAAUGAUUUAAUUCCAAUGUUAAAUGGCCAUAAGAGACAUGAUUUAAAAAUUAUUUUAAUUAUUCUAAAUUAUUCGAGUUCGAAUCUUUCUAAAUCAUUUCAAAACAGCUUUCUUAUAAUCAGAAAUAUGAAAAAUCUAAAAUAAACUCUAUUGGUUUAAUUAACUAAAAAAA